rnacentral:rRNA from 1 species
GACGAACGCUGGCGGCGUGCUUAACACAUGCAAGUCGAACGGAAAGGCCCUGCUUUUGUGGGGUGCUCGAGUGGCGAACGGGUGAGUAACACGUGAGUAACCUGCCCUUGACUUUGGGAUAACUUCAGGAAACUGGGGCUAAUACCGGAUAGGAGCUCCUGCUGCAUGGUGGGGGUUGGAAAGUUUCGGCGGUUGGGGAUGGACUCGCGGCUUAUCAGCUUGUUGGUGGGGUAGUGGCUUACCAAGGCUUUGACGGGUAGCCGGCCUGAGAGGGUGACCGGCCACAUUGGGACUGAGAUACGGCCCAGACUCCUUCGGGAGGCAGCAGUGGGGAAUAUUGCACAAUGGGCGGAAGCCUGAUGCAGCCACGCCGCGUGCGGGAUGACGGCCUUCGGGUUGUAAACCGCUUUCGCCUGUGACGAAGCGUGAGUGACGGUAAUGGGUAAAGAAGCACCGGCUAACUACGUG